UCAAUAUCUAUAGCAAAUUACAUUAAAGUUACUAACCAAAUUUUAGUUUACAAAUACAUCAAUUACACAUUAUUUUAUACAUUUAAAGACAAAAUUUAACAAAUUAGGACAAAUUAAUGUCCAUAUGCUAAUUGUCACUACAAUUUUACCAAAUUACCCUUCAUUACAAAUUCUACUGCUACUGCCCACAGCCCCACGAGAAAUGUGCUACUGCCAAGUAAGAAGGUGCUGCUGCCGACGAAAAAUGUGCUACUACCAUCUGUCACUUCAUUACAUAUUCUACUGCUACUGCCCACAACCCCACGAGAAAUGUGCUACUGCCAACAAAAAAUGUGCUACUGUUGUCACUGUUGUAAUUGUUUUCCGACAACUCUCUGAUGCUGGCGCGCUGCUAUUGCCGACUCUGAUGCUUGAGCGCUGCUACUACCAACUCUAAUGCUAGAGCGCUGCUACUGUCUUCUGUAAGAUUCAUUUCAAAACAUGUAUUGUAUUUGAAUUAGUGAGACAUUGAUUUUUUUUACNNNNNNNNNNNNNNNNNNNNAGAAGCAAGUAAACUAUCAUUAGUACCAAUAGGAACAUCAUGACCACCUGUAGCACAUCCUUCAUCAAAACCACCAUCAACACCUCCAGUAUAACCGUUUCCUCCAUCAACACCAUUUACAACUCCAAAAUUUAGAUUCUCACUUUGAUUCUGACAAUUAACUGCAGUACUAACACUUCCAUCAUGAUUUGCAACAUUACUAAUAUCAGAACUAGUAGUGACAUUACUAGUAUUCCCCCUCUCAACUGAGGCAGGGACCACUGCAGAAGGAGAACCAGAGAAAGGACCAGGUCUCAACAUUGGGGAAGGAGAAGAUGGAAGAGAAAGAGACAGAGAAAAAGGAAAAAUUGUUUCAUCAUGAACAACAUGUCGACACAUGAAUAAUUUAUUUUUAGAAGGACAAUAGCAGAACACCCCUUUAAAUCCUAAGGCAUAGCCAAGAAAGACACACUGAGAGGACCUUGGAUCAAGCUUGUCAUGAGCAUAAGGCCUAAGAUAAGGAUAGCAGGCUGAACCAAAAAUUCUCAAAGAUGAGAGAUCGGGAGGAGAACCAAAGAAUUUGAUAUAAGGAGAAGACAUAUCCAAAAAACGACAAGGCAUCCUAUUUAUGAGAAAUGCAGAAUGAGCUACUGCAUGAAACCAAAAAGGUUUAGGAAUGCUAGCAGCUGACAUGAGAGUUAUGGCAGUUUCAACAACAUGUCGAUUCUUUCUCUCAGCAACACCGUUUUGUUGAGGUGUAUAUGGACAAGUAAUGAGAUGGAGAAUACCAUGAGAGGAAAGAUAAUUCUUAAAUGCAUUACUAUUAUAUUCUCCACCUCCAUCAGUUUGAAUAGAUUGAAUAACACCAUGAAAUUGUGUAUGAACAAACUGAUAAAACUUAACAAAUGUAACAUAAGCAUCAGAUUUAUUAGUAAGUGGAUAUAACCACAAGAAUCUGGUACAAUCAUCAAUGAAAGUGAUGAUAUCUGGAUUGGAGAUACUGGAGCUACUCAUCAUAUGACCUCAGACUUGAUGACUCUUUCUAUUGCCAAGCCAUAUGAGUCUGCUAAUACCAUCACUAUUGGAAAUGGAUCAGGUUUGCAAAUCAAACACAUUGGUGAUACUACUUUAACUCCUGAGCACCAUACUUUUAAGUUAUGUAAUGUGCUUCAUGUGCCUCAAUUAGCUGUGAACUUGCUCUCCUUUAAUAAACUGUGCAAGGAUAACCAUUGUUUUAUAACAAUGGAUGGUAUUGACAUAUGUGUGCAGGACAAGGUCUCAAAGGCUCCUCUCUUCAGAGGAAAGAGUAAUGGGGAAGGACUCUAUCUUUUCAGAUCUCCAAAACUUACUUCUUCAUGUCCUUCAGCUUUUGUUAGUACUGUGAAGUGCACUAUCUGGCAUCACAGACUUGGUCAUCCAACUGAUGAAGUUGUUUCCAAGAUGCUUUCUCUUUCCAAUGUUAAGUCUAAGUCUGAUAAUAAGCCACAUGUUUGUGUCUCUUGUCUUACUGGAAAAAUGCAUAAGCUUCCUUUUUCAGAGUCUGUGUCUAGAACUACUGUUCCUUUUUAGAAAGUUCAUUCUGAUGUAUGGGGCCCUGCUCCAUGUCUUUCUGUGGAAGGACAUAGAUAUUACAUCACUUUCAUUGAUGAUUGUACCAGAUUCUUGUGGUUAUAUCCACUUACUAAUAAAUCUGAUACUUAUGCUACAUUUGUUAAGUUUUGUCAGUUUGUUCAUACACAAUUUCAUGGUGUUAUUCAAUCUAUUCAAACUGAUGGAGGUGGAGAAUAUAAUAGUAAUGCAUUUAAGAAUUAUCUUUCCUCUCAUGGUAUUCUCCAUCUCAUUACUUGUCCAUAUAUACCUCAACAAAACGGUGUUGCUGAGAGAAAGAAUCGACAUGUUGUUGAAACUGCCAUAACUCUCAUGUCAGCUGCUAGCAUUCCUAAACCUUUUUGGUUUCAUGCAGUAGCUCAUUCUGCAUUUCUCAUAAAUAGGAUGCCUUGUCGUUUUUUGGAUAUGUCUUCUCCUUAUAUCAAAUUCUUUGGUUCUCCUCCCGAUCUCUCAUCUUUGAGAAUUUUUGGUUCAGCCUGCUAUCCUUAUCUUAGGCCUUAUGCUCAUGACAAGCUUGAACCAAGGUCCUCUCAGUGUGUCUUUCUUGGCUAUGCCUUAGGAUUUAAGGGGGUGUUCUGUUAUUGUCCUUCUAAAAAUAAAUUGUUCAUGUGUCGACAUGUUGUUCAUGAUGAAACAGUUUUUCCUUUUUCUCUGUCUCUUUCUCUUCCAUCUUCUCCUUCCCCAAUGCUGAGACCUGGUCCUUUCUCUGGUUCUCCUUCUGCAGUGGUCCCUGCCUCAGUUGAGAGGGGGAAUACUAGUAAUGUCACUACUAGUUCUGAUAUUAGUAAUGUUGCAAAUCAUGAUGGAAGUGUUAGUACUGCAGUUAAUUGUCAGAAUCAAAAUGAGAAUCUAAAUUUUGGAGUUGUAAAUGGUGUUGAUGGAGGAAACGGUUAUACUGGAGGUGUUGAUGGUGGUUUUGAUGAAGGAUGUGCUACAGGUGGUCAUGAUAUUCCUAUUGGUACUAAUGAUAGUUUACUUGCUUCUAUUUUGCCUCAAGAAAUUCAGUUUAUCAAUGAUUCUGCUACUUCCUAUAAUAACCACUCUAUGUUGACCCGUGCAAAGAAUGAGAUUUUUAAGAAGAAGNNNNNNNNNNNNNNNNNNNNCACGAGAAAUGUGCUACUGCCAAGUAAGAAGGUGCUGCUGCCGACGAAAAAUGUGCUACUACCAUCUGUCACUUCAUUACAUAUUCUACUGCUACUGCCCACAACCCCACGAGAAAUGUGCUACUGCCAACAAAAAAUGUGCUACUGUUGUCACUGUUGUAAUUGUUUUCCGACAACUCUCUGAUGCUGGCGCGCUGCUAUUGCCGACUCUGAUGCUUGAGCGCUGCUACUACCAACUCUAAUGCUAGAGCGCUGCUACUGUCUUCUGUAAGAUUCAUUUCAAAACAUGUAUUGUAUUUGAAUUAGUGAGACAUUGAUUUUUUUUACUUUCUAUUUUUUGAAAGUGAAGACAGAAUCUAUGGGUGCUACUGUAUCUGGUUUUUUUGAACAUGUAUUUUUUGAAAGUGAUCGGCUGGUUCCCAUUUUAUGUUUGAUAGCACUGCUACUGGCCUAAAGCUAAUGAGACUAUUACAUAUUAAUACCAUUGCUACUGAGCAACAAAAUUAAUCCAGUACAGUUAUUUUGCUAUAGUUCCCAUUGCAAAGCAACACCCAAACAAGAGUAACCAAACUCCAGCCAACAAUAUCAGCAUAAUGCUUAGCCUCGGUAUCAAAACUAAUCUCAAAUUGCUAAUGAUGCCCAACAUUAUAUGCAAAACAUGGAAUUAAAUUUUUGCAAGAUAAAAAAUCGAACAAAAUUUUAAGCAAAUUGGGAAAGCAAAGAUUAGGAACCACAAGAAACGAUCUAUAUGGCUCAGAUUCCUCAACUUACAUGUAGCGGCAAAUUUACCCAAUCGAAAAGAACAGUUGAAAUUACCCUAUCAAGUAGAACAGUAGCAUCAAUUCCUUGUAGCGGUCUCCAUCGAUAGCCUCUGCGGCCAACAGCUUUCCCCUUGUACUCCGAAAAAACUACGUUGGAAACCUCGAGCCGCUCUCCCGGCGGACAACGGCGACCUUUUCCACAGCUUCUCCCCACAACACCGCGGCAUGAGAUCGCCGCUCUGCUUCAUGAUGUCGGUCUACUCCGUGAACCUAAUCGGUUGAUAGGCAGCGCAAGACUGACCCGAAGCUUGAUCCAAUGCCGUUGGAGAGAGAGAGAGAGAGAGAGAGAGAGAGAGAGAGAGAGAGAGAGAGAGAGAGAGAGAGAUAN
rnacentral:lncRNA from 1 species